rnacentral:rRNA from 1 species
GACGAACGCUGGCGGCGUGCCUAAUACAUGCAAGUCGAACGAACGGAAAUUAGAAUUUGUUCUAACGGAAGUGAGUGGCGAACGGGUGAGUAACACGUGGGUAACCUACCUUUAAGCGGGGGAUAACAGUGGGAAACGACUGCAAAUACCGCAUAGGACAUAGCGUCACAUGACGAAGUGAGGAAAGACGGUUUCGGCUGUCACUUAGAGAUGGACCCGCGGUGCAUUAGCUAGUUGGUAAGGUAACGGCUUACCAAGGCAAUGAUGCAUAGCCGACCUGAGAGGGUGAUCGGCCACAUUGGGACUGAGACACGGCCCAAACUCCUACGGGAGGCAGCAGUAGGGAAUCUUCCGCAAUGGACGAAAGUCUGACGGAGCAACGCCGCGUGAGUGAAGAAGGUCUUCGGAUCGUAAAGCUCUGUUGUUAGAGAAGAAGAGUUGUGGGAGUAACUGCCCGUAAUGUGACGGUAUCUAACCAGAAAGCCACGGCUAACUACGUG